AUGAAAGGCCCUCCUAGCCAACCUCUUCCUUUCCUCUUCACAAUCCACCACACACACUCCCAAGCUUUGGAGAAGUCUGAGAAGCUGAGGAGGGUAAACCUUCAGGAGGAAAUACUGGGGCCACAAAAUGUGAAGACAAUGGUGUCCCCAGGAAGCCACGGCCCUGCAAACUAGGAUCAUCACUGAGAGCACCAGCAGCUGGCUGGACCAAGGGCCUAGGAUGCUUCUCGAAACCAAGGUCUUUCCAGAGCUUAGAUCCUGCCUGCCUGGAGCAAACCCAAGGAACCCUCCACUCUCAUCGACUCACCUCACCUCGGGCUUAGACUAACCACAGAUGUCUCCCUGCCUUCCAUCUCUUGCUGCUGCCUCCUGCCUUUGCAGGAGUACAAUUCACAGUCAGAUGCACUUUAAAUCUCUGGCCCUGGGACAAAUUUCCCCAUCCUCAUUCAGCUCCUCUCGGACAAAGCCCUAGUCUGAAGGGAGUGAGUCCUUUUGAGGCUUUGCAGAGCUGCAGAUAAACUUGUUUAUGAAUUUCGAGUCAGAGCAUCCCUAUAGCCCCUGAGAGACUGCUCUUGCAUGUGAAAGGAGGCUUAAGAAUAACAGAGGAAUAUUUUUGAGUUGAACCGCACCUGGAUAUUCUCCCCACAAGUCCCCUGGAAAGGCAGCAAGCACCAUCUGCUGGAAGUCAAGGAGAAUGGCAGAAACGUGGAGGACAGUGAGGGGCGUGGGCUGAGAACUGAAGGACGAUCUACUGGGAGCUGAGGAAAAAUUCAGGAUGGAAAACUGUGAAGGAUAGGGAUAGGGGAGAGAAAAGGGGACCAACAGCUGAGGAGGAAUCCCCUAAACCACUGAUCCAGUCCCAACAACUGGCAAGGUCUGCUGACAUCAGUGACAACAAAGGAAUGAAGCAAUGUCGUUCAAGCAGAAGGGUCAGUUGGUGUGGAAGAGAAAAGGUGACUACACUUGACUUCAACCCUCCCAGGAGUGUAAGUCACCGGUAUGGUGCAUGGGUCUCUGGGGAAAGAGCUCUUCCCUGAAGUGUUUUGUUACCCUUAUGGGCUUGUAUGUGAGUACUAUGUUACCAUCAG
rnacentral:lncRNA from 1 species